UUCAUGGUGCAAGUCUGCUGCAAAAAGCCGAUGGUGUUGUUUAGAAACAAUUUUCUCCAAAUUUCGCUGAAGCCAUAAUGAAUCGAAAUAAUCGUUCCGGUGGAAUUAAGUUUCGGGAAUUAGAUUACAAAAAGUCUUCGCCGUACGACAAAGCAAAGCAUGACAACAACCAGCGCAAAAAAGAAAAUGUAUUGAAGUUGUUUGCUGCAGCAGAUUUGAAAGUAACACACGAAGAUCUUGCUGAAAAAGAAAAUGCAAACUCUCGUACCCCGAAUCUUUCCACUUUUGAAAAUGGUCCGACUAUUGAUGAAAACAUUGACAGUGACAGUCAGACUAAAAUAGACAAUCAAGAGGAUCAAGGAGGAGACAACCGAGAGGAGCCUAUAAAACAUCAAGCGAAGAAGAUGAAAUUGGAUAAUAUUAAUGAAAAAUCAAUAACGAGUCCUAAACAACUCACUCCCGAUUCAUCCAAUCAUAAAUUACAAACUAAUCAGUCAGUGCAACAAAAGUGUAUAAACAGCGAUACAAGGAUUUAUAAUGUGAUGAUUGGGAAAAUUUCAACUCGAAAACACAAACAAUGGGAAGAUGAUGGAAUCUUGGAAGUUCGUGGUAAAAGUGCUACAUUAAAGGACGUCAAUGGAAAAUUUAUUGGUAAAACAACAGUUAAACCAGAAAUGAUAGAAGAAGGUUUCAGAAUUUGUAUGAGCGGCAAAGAAAUUGAAAUUGUGGAAUUGGCUUCUUCUCAAGAAACAGCAAAUGUUCAAACUUCUGAUGAUGGAAAUAUUAGCAGCAUUGUUUUGGAACCUCCCACCAAGAAAGUAAAAACAUCCAAAGGAUUCAUUCCAGUAAAGUCGAGUAGUUUGCAUUUCAAUUUUGAACCACUUAUAAUGCCAAAUCCAACAUUUAAUAUUGAAUCCUCAAUAGACGAUGUAGAACAAAAACUGCAUGAAGUUUCUGUAGACGGUUGUUUAGUUUCUGCUCUAAGACCUCAUCAACGUGAAGGUAUUAUUUUUAUGUACAAAUGUGUGAUGGGAAUGGCUGACCCCAGAUAUAAAGGUGCAAUUUUGGCUGAUGAAAUGGGUUUAGGAAAAACCUUGCAGUGUAUUACACUAGUAUGGACACUUUUAAAAAAAGGUCCUACUGGAAAACCUGUCAUAAAAAGAGCGCUAAUUGUAGCCCCCAGUAGUUUAUGUGGAAAUUGGAAUAAAGAGUUUAGAAAGUGGCUGGGAAGCAUGAAAAUUUCUCCUUAUGUUGUAGAGGGUAAACAAAAAGUUAAAGAUUUUAAAAAAACUCCUAGAGCUUGUGUUAUGAUAAUAAGUUAUGAAAUGUUUAUUAGAAAUGUAGAAGAUAUUAAUGACUUAAAGUUUGAUCUCUUAAUAUGUGAUGAAGGACAUAGACUAAAAAAUAGUGAAGUAAAAACAUUAAAGUCACUAAGUCAAUUGAGUUGUGAAAAGAGAAUAUUGUUAACUGGUACUCCAGUGCAAAAUGAUUUAGAAGAGUUUUAUACGUUAGCUAAUUUUGUAAGCCCAGGUAUUCUUGGUAGUUUUCAUGAGUAUAAAAGUUAUUAUGAAAAUCCAAUAGUUGUGUCCCAAAGAGCCUCAGCUGAUGAAGAAGAUAUUGAACUAGGACAGAGUAGAGCAAAAGAAUUGCAUGAAAGAUCAAAAAUUUUUAUACUUAGACGAACAAAUAAUUUAAUUAAUCAGUAUUUGCCUCAAAAGCAUGAACUUGUAAUAUUUUGUCGUUUAACAAAAGAACAAGAUAACUUGUAUGAACUAAUUACUGAUUACUGGUUCAAUAGAACCCUCAUGGAUGUAAAUGUUAUGCCACUAGCUAUUAUAACAGCUUUGAAAAAAGUUUGUAAUCAUCCAUACCUUUUCACAUCUGAAAAAACAGAUAUUCUGAAUGAAAUAUUACCGAAUAUCCCAACGAAUUUAUCUGCAAUCAACACAUCUUUCCAGUAUUCAAGUAAAUUUAAAGUAGUUCAAGCUAUUAUUCAAGACUUAAAAAGAACAUCAGAAAAACUAGUAUUGAUAUCAUAUUUUACACAAACUUUGGAUUUACUGGAAAAAAUUUGUUGUACAGAAGGUUUGCAAUUUUGCAGAUUAGAUGGAUCCACAAAUACAUCAAAUAGAACAAAAUUAGUGGAAAAGUUUAAUUCAAAAGAUAAUAAUUCAAUAAGAAUUUUUUUACUCAGUGCCAAGGCUGGUGGAACUGGAUUGAAUUUGAUAGGUGCAUCCAGACUAAUUUUGUUUGAUUCCGAUUGGAAUCCAGCUAAUGAUGCGCAAGCUAUGGCUCGAAUAUGGCGUGAUGGGCAAAAGCGAUCUGUUUAUAUUUACAGAUUAUUAACUACUGGUACAAUUGAAGAAAAAAUUUACCAAAGACAAAUUAGUAAAACUAGUUUAAGUGAAGCUGUUGUCGAUGCAAAUCAUAUAUCUUCUCUAAAAUUGUCAAAAAGUGAACUAAAGGAUUUAUUCUCUCUAGAUAGUAAAACUAUCUCUGUUACUCAUGAUCUCAUGGACUGUUCUUGUUCUGGAUCUGGUGAGAUACCUUCAAAGGAACAAGAAAUUCUAUCUACAAGUGAAAAUUCUAGAGAUUGUCAGUUCAGUCUUAAAAAAAAACCAAAGCAACAAAUUACUAUUAAUCAACUUCUUUGUUGGCAGCAUUUCAAGCAACCGAUCAGCUCAGAGCUAUUACAAGAUUUAAUGUUAAGUAAAGUAAAUUCUUUAAUCACGUUUAUUUUUAAAAAUUCAGUAGAAAAAUAAAUUGUUGUUAACUUUUACAAUAUACAUGAGAUCAACACUCAUCCAGUAUCAAAAGCCAUUCUUUCUAAGAAUUGCGGUGGCGUACCCUCCC
rnacentral:misc_RNA from 1 species